AAGAAUGUCCGAACUCCCCUUCAUUAAACCUGGUACCCCAUUUCGUUUCACUUCACCUCCUUCAGAGAAACCCCCCAUGCCCUCUCUGCCAUUUCCGCCAGUGCAACCUCCAAACCACCGCCGAACCUCGACCAAAAUCACAACCCCAGACUCCUUUUCAUCCCCCUCUCUACAAAUUCCCCAGUAACUUCCCUUGAAUCACCACUAAAUGAGGAUAAUUUCAGAUCUAAAAAGGGCCGAGGAGCGAAAGAAAAAUCUCCCAAAUCUUUGCAGGCUUCGAUGACUUGGCUAGGUCUGUAAUUGUUGUUUCUCGAUGGUUAACAAGAACCAACGGCUAAUAUCAAUUACGGUUCAAAAUCUAAGGAGUCAGAGGUCCUUUCAAGCCAUCUCCGUCCUUUGAUUUAGGUAUUUAAGUUUUUCUUUUGUUCUUCUCAUCUUCAUCUCUUCCGAUUUUCUGCUUCUUUUUCCUCUGUUUCUUUUUUGGGGUUAAUUGUUCUGUACACCUUUAAGAUUGAGUUAUAAUUGGUUUAAAUUAAUUAUUUUAUUAAACACGUGUCAAUAUUUUAAGUUAUUUUCAAAAAAAAGAUAAGGAAAAAUGGUCUCAUGUCCAAACAAAUUAACGCAGAAUUUGAAACAUGAGACCAUUUUUCCUUAUCUUUUGAAGGACAAGCGGCUGGGGGAGUGAUUCUGAAAAAACACUGAAAUUCUGUAUCACUUGGGGUGGGAAUUGAUUUUAAAUCUGCUCCCUAAUCUUAAGUUUCAACUAGAAUUUUAAAAGGCUUCAACGAAUCCUUGUUUUAUCUGGGAAAAAUGGUUCAAAAAGCUGAAAUUGCUGGGUUUUUGGAAGCUGUUUGAUUGGUUUUACUGUUGAUCUCUGCUGCUAUACUUGCUAGCCUUGUGGCGCUCUAAGCUGAUUCUCAAACUUUUGUUUAUCUUUGCUGUAACCAGGUACUCAUUCGACCUCAAAUGACAUGUUGAAAUAGGAAUGAGAAUGCUGAUGGCACCAUGUUUUUAUGGCAAUCUAUUUCAGAUUAUUUGAUUUUGUAUUCACGUGAGCCUUGUUGAUUAACUUGUGUGUAUUUUGAUAGCUAAUUUGAGUGGCUGUAGUACUCUACUGAAGCCACUAAGUGUUGUAGUUUUAAUGUUGAUUAGUAGUAAGUCCUGGUCUCUGUUGUUCUAGCAUGUAAAAGAUGUGUAUUUCAUCUCAAAUUGGUUGAAAUUGUUAGAAAAAUCGAAGUACGAUACCUAUUUGAAUUAGUUUGAUCCCGGUUUUCAGCUAUGAAUGUUCGUGUUGGUGAAUCUAAUCAUGUUAGGUUUAAUUAAGAUUGGUUAAAUUCCUGUUUAAAUUUUGCAGAUUGCUUGGAAAUAAGAAUUGUUGGAAAUUUUUCAUAUGUCACCAGCUUGGUCACUAUUUUGUUUGAUAGCUAUUAGUGGUCCGUGUAAUCGCUGGAGCCUUACAUUGAAAUACAAGGUUGAAUUGCUAUAUGUUUAUUCUAUUGGAG
rnacentral:lncRNA from 1 species